rnacentral:rRNA from 1 species
ACCAGACUCCUACGGGAGGCAGCAGUGGGGAAUAUUGGACAAUGGGGGGAACCCUGAUCCAGCGACGCCGCGUGAGUGAAGAAGUAUUUCGGUAUGUAAAGCUCUAUCAGCAGGGAAGAAAGAAAUGACGGUACCUGACUAAGAAGCCCCGGCUAACUACGUGCCAGCAGCCGCGGUAAUACGUAGGGGGCAAGCGUUAUCCGGAUUUACUGGGUGUAAAGGGGGCGCAGACGGCAGCGCAAGCCAGGAGUGAAAGCCCGGGGCCCAACCCCGGGACUGCUCUUGGAACUGCGCGGCUGGAGUGCAGGAGGGGCAGGCGGAAUUCCUGGUGUAGCGGUGAAAUGCGUAGAUAUCAGGAGGAACACCGGCGGCGAAGGCGGCCUGCUGGACCGUGACUGACGUUGAGGCUCGAGAGCGUGGGGAGCAAACAGGAUUAGAUACCCUGGUAC